AGUGGCGAACUGGUGAGUAACACCGUGGAAAACCUGCCCAGAAGCAGGGGGAUAACACUUGGAAACAGGUGCUAAUACCGUAUAACAACAAAAACCGCAUGGUUUUUGUUUGAAAGGUGGUUUACGGCUAUCACUUCUGGAUGGUUCCGCGGCGCAUUAGCUAGUUGGUGAGGUAAAGGCCCACCCAAGGCAAUGAUGCGUAGCCGACCUGAGAGGGUAAUCCGGCCACAUUGGGACUGAGACACGGCCCAGACUCC
rnacentral:rRNA from 1 species